UAACAGUUGUAAAAUUCGCAACAAACUGACGAGAAAAGGACCAGAGCCGUUACAAUAGAAUACAACCAUGACCAUCAGUAACGACAAACAUCGAAACAAUGAGUAGCUUCUACGUGAUCUCGCAACAUACUAGAAACUGCAGCCAGCUCUUUCUUUCUUUCCCUCCCUCUCCCCCUCUUCCUCACUCACUCACUCUCUUUAAUCACACCUAAAAAACACACAUUUAUUAAUGCAGUCUUUAGAUAUAAGAUGUGGUGGUCACAGCUGGAAAGUCUUUGAUAAUAAAUAGGUCUGCUGAGUUGGGACUGUCCUGAGACUAUACAACUGCAAUAACAAAUCGAAGAACUACAAUAUUUGUUCAAGGAUAUAAUAUAGUGUAUAACAGGCACAGAUCUACAAAUACUGGUUUUGAAUUUUGCCACAAAGCAAGCAAAUUUUAGCGGAAGGGUAAGUCGAUUACAUCGACCCCAGGGCUCAACUGAUACUUAUUUUAUCAGCCCACGAAAGGAUGAAAGGCAAAGUCGACCUCGGCGGAAUUUGAACUCAGAACAGAUCUACAUAUACAAAAGGAGGAACAUAACCGAUUAACUACGCUCCCUAUUAUAUCACUGGUAUUAAAUUAUCGUAUCGACCCUGGAAAGAUGAAAGGCAAAUUCGACCUGGACGGGAUUUGAAGUCAGGACGGAGAGAGAGACUGUUGCAGUUUCUAACAACAGCAGCAGCAGCACAACUUGUAAGCAGCAGACGACAUGAGACAGCUUCGAUAUAACAACAACAACGAGAACAAUAACAACAUCUGUAGUAAUGUAGUUGUAUCAAUAAUUCAAAGAGCAGACGACAUGGUAGAAGAAUCGAAAGAAGAAAAGACAGACGUUAAAUAAGUCGAUAAUAAUAAUAAUUAAGCAAGAUAUAGAUGGAAUAAUUUCAUUAAAAGAUGACAACGAAUCAGUGAUAAGAACAAUAACAAAUGACAGCAACAAUAACAACAAGCAUUUCAAAGUAUAAUUUACAAUAACUUGGAGAUAAAAAUCGAACAGCAGACGACAGCGUGCAAGUUGUAACAACAACUAAAGCAACUAUGAACUCCACGCGAUAUCAUACUAUUAUUGCUCGUCCAGUUUCGGGCCUCACUCGUUGUCAAUCGUCCUGCCGGUUGUAGCUCGUAGGACUCUCUCUCUCUAUAUAUAUAUAUAUGUAUAUGAAAGCACCGUCACUAUCGGGAUGAUCCAGAUAAUUCUCGCCACCACCUCCACUACGAUGGAGUCGACGACGGUGGAGAAGAAGAGAAAGAAAUAGAAGAAAUAAAAGAACAACAAUAACUACUAUUACUACUAAUAUUACUAUACUACUACUACUACUACCACUUAGUAGUAGUACUACUACUGCUGCUGUGAGUGAAAGAAAGCCAGCGCCCUGCCAAUGUUCUGCCGACACCACGGCCGCCAUCAUAGCUCCUCGCUGCUGCUAGUGUUGUCGAGUUGUUGUGUGUGAUAUACAAUGUGUAGCUUCGGAGUUGUUUGGUUCUAGGCAUCGGAUUUACUUAACUAUUGGAAUUACACUUGAAGAAGAAGAAGUAGAAGAAAAAAAAAUAAAAUACCAUGGCUGCUUCGCGACUUGUUGAAGAGAAGGAUAGUCCCGAUCCUUUCCAGGAAGCUGAUAAGGGGAAAAUCUG